rnacentral:rRNA from 1 species
UACGAAGGGGGCUAGCGUUGUUCGGAAUUACUGGGCGUAAAGCGCACGUAGGCGGGUUUGUAAGUAGAGGGUGAAAUCCCAGGGCUCAACCCUGGAACUGCCUUCUAGACUGCAAGCCUGGAGGUCAGGAGAGGCGAGUGGAAUACCGAGUGUAGAGGUGAAAUUCGUAGAUAUUCGGUGGAACACCAGUGGCGAAGGCGACUCGCUGGACUGAUACUGACGCUGAGGUGCGAAAGCGUGGGGAGUAAACAGG